AAGUCGUAGGUGAACCUGCGGAAGGAUCAUUAACACGUAUCCACGUAAACCAACCGUGCACUUUCAAUUAUGCGUUGUUUUUGAGCUCGAGUUCGAAGACGCUUGCACCGGCGAUGGAUGCCAUCUCUGACGAGAGUGAAACUGGAAGGGUACGGAACUCGACAGUUUCGACGUGGGGCUGGAAAACUCGAUUUAUUUCAAAGGACGAUCCGUUCUGGGCCGGAUCGAAAUUUGUGGUAAUGAGAGGGUUCUGGAACUCUACGGGGUAACUGUCUGAGUUGCACAUCCAUUUCAAACCCCUUAAAAAAAUUGACAUCCGAGACCUCAGGGUAAAACCGAGGCUCGAGCAACCGAACAACUGUUAACAAUGGAUAUCUUGGUUCUC
rnacentral:misc_RNA from 1 species